rnacentral:rRNA from 1 species
AGCGAACGCUGGCGGCAGGCCUAACACAUGCAAGUCGAGCGCCUCGCAAGGGGAGCGGCAGACGGGAGAGUAACACGUGGGAACGUACCCUUUGGUUCGGAACAACCCAGGGAAACUUGGGCUAAUACCGGAUAAGCCCUUACGGGGAAAGAUUCAUCGCCGAAGGAUCGGCCCGCGUCUGAUUAGCUAGUUGGUGGGGUAACGGCCCACCAAGGCGACGAUCAGUAGCUGGUCUGAGAGGAUGAUCAGCCUCACUGGGACUGGGACACGGCCCAGACUCCUACGGGAGGCAGCAGUGGGGAAUAUUGGACAAUGGGCGCAAGCCUGAUCCAGCCAUGCCGCGUGGGUGAUGAAGGCCCUAGGGUUGUAAAGCCCUUUCGGCGGGGAAGAUAAUGACGGUACCCGCAGAAGAAGCCCCGGCUAACUUCGUGCCAGCCGCCGCGGUAAGAC